AUCCAUUUUCUUGAAUUUACAGCCAAGAUUUCCCUUCCUUACUAUAACUGCUGAUGGACACCAUCAAAGGCAAAUAGUAAUACUAAUAGCUAGUGUUUUAAAAUACUAUCUACAUGAAUACACAUUAUAAAAAAAGUCACUGGAGAUGAAAAAAUGAUUAUGGAACAGCCCUGCCUUCCAGGGACUCAUAAUUAAUGGAUUGGGUAACAGAUGUAUAAGCAGGUGAGUGUAGACAAUGUGGCAAAUACUCCUGAGACAGGACAUGCAGAAAAGGGCAAUGAUUGCUACAGAAGACUGUGAGCUCAGGUUUUGAUACAGGUUUGAGGUGCCGAGGAGAUAAUCCGUGAAGAUAACCAACAAGUAGAUAAAUAUUCUCCCUGUGGUGUCAGCCUUGCAGGAUCACCUGAAGGACUGGCUGGCCCCCUCAGGACGGCUUCCUUUGCUCUACCGCACUUGCUGUGUGACUCCCCUGGAGGUUAAGAUGAAGAGUAACAAUAAUAACAGCCAGCAUGUACUGAACUUGAACUCCACUCCAGGCUCUCAGCUAACUUCUUACAUCAUUUGAUCGUCCCCAUAGUCAUAUGAGGUCCUUCAUUUGCCUGCUACUGAUAAAGAGGUUUUGAAAAGCAAGCUCAAACUUACCCUAAAGUUACCAAGUCUUAUAACAGCAUACACAGCACCACCAGCGGGAGCAGAGAACAAGAGUUUCAAAACCUAUUCAGUUUCCAAAAUCCUGUUCAGAGAUACUGGUAAUCUAAUUACUUUCUAUUUUCUAAACAUUCUGACAUCCCAUAGCCUCUUCCUACUUGUGCCAAUACGGAAGUUUCCUAUUAUCAGUAUUAUCCUUUGACUAUGACACUAACAAAGGAUCCAGGUAUCCUAUUAGAAUAAAACUCCUUUAAUUCAAAAUAAAAAACUCAAAGAAUUUCAUUUGGGCUCUUUUCAAAUUUACCUGAAUUCUGCAUUUGCAAAGGAUUGGUGGUGCUGUUGUCUAGCUUUCAUCCUGCUUGUCCAGGCCUGGGACUGCUGGGCACACAGAUGCCG